GAGUUUGAUCCUGGCUCAGAACGAACGCUGGCGGCGUGCUUAACACAUGCAAGUCGAACGUGAUCCGGAGCUUGCUCCGGUGAAAGUGGCGCACGGGUGAGUAACGCGUGGAUAWUCUGCCCUGGUAUCUGGGAUAACAUCUCGAAAGGGGUGCUAAUACCGGAUAAGCCUACGGACUCCUCGGAGUCURCARGAAAAGGUGGCCUCUAUUUAUAAGCUWCCGUAUCAGGAUGAGUCCGCGUACCAUUAGCUAGUUGGUGGGGUAAUGGCCCACCAAGGCUACGAUGGUUAGCUGGUCUGAGAGGAUGAUCAGCCACACUGGAACUGAGACACGGUCCAGACUCCUACGGGAGGCAGCAGUGGGGAAUUUUGCGCAAUGGGGGAAACCCUGACGCAGCAACGCCGCGUGAGUGAUGAAGGCUUUCGGGUCGUAAAGCUCKGUCAGAGGGGAAGAAAUGAGCCUGGCUAAUAUCCAGGUUUCUUGACGGUACCCUCAAAGGAAGCACCGGCUAACUCCGUGCCAGCAGCCGCGGUAAUAC
rnacentral:rRNA from 1 species